rnacentral:lncRNA from 1 species
CAGGGAGCCAUAGGAGUUUCUACAACAAAAUGAUUAGAAUAUUUAAAUUCUGGUUGUAAUAGGAAAUUUAGCUGAGGAGAAGCCGUGCUAAGCAUUGGAAUUAACAUGAAACAGAUUUAAAUCUAUUUUACAGCCUUCUUGGAUUCGUUAUAAAAUAUAAUAUUCUUUGCAUUAAAAAUAGAAAGAGGAGAAGAAAGAAGGGAGAUUUUGUUGGUGUGCUGAGUUUCACAGGGAGACGCCUGGAGAUGGUGAGUAGGUCAACCUGAAAGGCACUGUCCAGUGGAAAAAACAUUUAUUGAGAGAAGUCAGCACAUCAUUUGCCUAACUUUAAAGUGGAAUCCCACCGUCAAAGAGCCUAGGUUCUUUAAAGAAAAAGUCUCUGAUGGCUCUACUCAUUUUUUUUAUUUCUUUCUUUUAUUGCACAACUUUUACAAGUUAUAUAGGAAAGACUGUGAUUGUUAAUCAAAUAUUUCUAGACUUUUGUUCCACAAUUGUUUCAUAGACGUCAUUUAGCCAAGAGCAGAUAAUUUAGCAAUAAUUCACUUAGAGGUCAAGCAUCUUCCUUCAGGCACUGAUAGGCUGGUCCUUGUGUUAUACACAUUUUCAAGGCAAUAAUUUGAUUUACUAUAAUAUUUUACCAAUAUGUUUGUUUGCUUCUGGUCACGUGACCUUGUAAAUUCACACCUUGAUCUCUUCAUUCUGCUCUAAAUCCCCCAGUAUAGAUAAAAUGUCUUUAAACUUUUUAUUUUAAGAUUCUCUUGCAGUUGUAAGAAAUAAUACAAAGGGAUCGCAUUUACCCUUGACCCGGUUCCUCCAACAUCUUUCAAAACUACAGCACAACACCACCCCAGGAUGCUGACCCAGAGACAGGCAAGAUACCGAACACUCCGGCCCCACAGGAUCGCCCCUCUCUCCUUCUCAUCCGUCCUCUGGCUGCCACUCCAUCUUUAGCCCCUGCAAACCACUAAUCUGUUCUCUAUUUCCGUAAUUUUGCAUUUCAAUGAUGUUACACAAAAGUGCUCUUUUCCACCCAGCAUAAAUCCCUGAAGAUCCAUCCAAGGUAUUACACACAUUGGUAAUCCACUCCUUCCUAUUAGUGGAGUAGAGUUCCACAGCAUGGAUAUACCAGAGUUUGCCUAACCAUUCGCUGACGAAGGACAUCUAGGUUGUUUCUAGCUUAGGCCUAUUACAAAUAAACUGCUGGCUGGGCACGGUGACUCACACCUGUAAUCCCAGCACUUUAGGAGGCCAAGGCAGGUGAAUCACUUGAGGUCAGAAGUUUGAGGCCAGCCUGGCCAACAUGGUGAAACCUCAUCUCUACUUAAAAAAAAAAAA